rnacentral:lncRNA from 1 species
GAGAGGGAUCAAACUGACGUGCGAAGCAGGGUAGCCAGGCCGGGCUCUAGAGUAGCCCCUUCCUCCUCGCCUCGUCAGCCCUGAGGCUACCCUCGUGGGGAAAGUGGGGGCUCAACGGUCUCGUCUUUUACGAAGCAGAUGGACUCCUGGACUCUAGGGCCUCGAACUGUUUGGGAGACUGAUGGGCAGGAGCCUUAUGCAGCCGGAGGGCCGGCGGUCAGUCAGUGGGCUUGGCCCGCGCUGGCGUCUGGCCCAGCUGUCGAAGCUCGGCUGGUCCAAGCUUGCUGCUGGCCCGGAGCUAACUGGGUCCCCUGAUGGCUGGGAUGAAGAGUGCAAUGCAUGUUUCAAAGAGGGCAUGCUUCCUUCACCUGGGUCCCAGGAUGGUGGAACAAAGCUGAAGAUGACUGUGAUUGACAAACAUGAAGAGAAAUAAACCUUACUGUAAGUAAUUUCAACUGGGGGGGUUAUUACCUUAGAAUGACUUAGGUUGAUCAGUGUAUUGCCCAAACUGAAUGAAGACAAACCAUGAGACUAGUAUUAAUUACGAGUAUUUGAGAACUGUAAAAGAUAGGCAGUUGACCUCUAGAGCAGUUGAAACUGAAUACCACUGAAAGGACAAUCAGAAUAUUCUCAUAUUCAGAAUAGGCAUUCUCUUUCAGAGACGAUGAAAACCAGAGUUCAAGUAAGAGAUGUUUGAUUGGUAUUUCAACAUGCCAUACAUUUUGGGACACUCUUAACUGUAGGAAAUCAUUGGUGGUUAAAUUAUGAGCUCCAUAUAAAUUAUGCUAUGUUGGUUUUAUGUUACUAAAUCUAAUAUUGGGUUAACAUUUGAAAUUUGUCAUAUUUUCUAAGCUCUGAAAAAGAAAAAUGAACCUGGAUUUUUGUCUCUAUGCUCAUCAAAUGGUAACAUCAUAUUGCUAAUUUGGGAAAUAAUUACUAAACUCUACUAAAAUCAUUGUUCAUGGAGCUAAAUCCAAAAUUCAGACAUUUGGGGAAAAAAAGAGUCCACAGCAAUGUAUUUUGAUGUUCUUGGGUAAAGAGGAAUCAGUAUUCAUCCUCAGUAUAGAUUGGAUUCCUUCAAACUAUCUUUACUUUUCAAGCAUCUAACAUUCACAGUUAGCAUGUGAGUCCCUCUAUCUAAUAAAAAGUCACAAGAGGCAGCUCUACACAAGAAAGAUUGAUUUGUGAUAUGCUGCUUCUCAUAAUGACACCACCAUGUGGUAUGUUCUGAGGUGGAGCUUUAUUCAUAUGCACCCCAGAUAGUAAAACAAACAGUGUAAUGUAUAAAAAGAAAAUCUCUUUAGAAACAACCUAAAUGUUUAUCAAUAGGAGAAUGGAUCAAAAUAACGUGAUAUUUCCACAUAAUGGGGUAAAAUAUAUUAUGUAAAAUUAAUGAUCCUAAAAGUAUCACAUAUUAAAGUGAAUGUUCAAAACCAAGUUAUAGAUGUAUACAUAUAUACACACACACACACACACAUAUAUAUAUAAUGAUACCAUGAUUAUAAAAUUGUAAAACAUGCAAAAUGAACAUUAUUUAUGAGUUUCAUAUAUGGUUUAAAACAUUUCAAAUGUGUAUAGGAAUGAUUAACAUCAAAUUUAGUGCAGUGGUUAUUAUCUUUGGUUAUAUGUAAUAGCGAAUGGGAUUGAAGAAAUGUACACAGAGCUUCAACUGUAUCUAUAAUGACUGAUUUUUUAAAAAAAUAACUUUAAAAUCUGAAGUGAAUAUGGUACCUGGUUACCUU